CCCUUAGAUGUUCUGGGCCGCACGCGCGCUACACUGACGAAUGCAACGAGCUUAUAACCUUGUCCGAAAGGUCUGGGUAAUCUCCAAAUUUCGUCGUGAUGGGGAUAGAUUAUUGCAAUUAUUAAUCUUCAACGAGGAAUGCCUAGUAAGCGCAAGUCAUCAGCUUGCGUUGAUUACGUCCCUGCCCUUUGUACACACCGCCCGUCGCUCCUACCGAUUGAAUGGUCCGGUGAAGCGUUCGGACCGUGGCCUUUGGACGGUUCGCCGUCUGUUGGCUGCGGGAAGUUCGUUAAACCUUNUNAUUUAGNGGAAGGAGAANUCGUANCA
rnacentral:rRNA from 1 species